rnacentral:rRNA from 1 species
GAUGAACGCUGGCGGCGUGCCUAAUACAUGCAAGUCGAGCGAACAGACGAGGAGCUUGCUCCUCUGACGUUAGCGGCGGACGGGUGAGUAACACGUGGAUAACCUACCUAUAAGACUGGGAUAACUUCGGGAAACCGGAGCUAAUACCGGAUAAUAUAUUGAACCGCAUGGUUCAAUAGUGAAAGACGGUUUUGCUGUCACUUAUAGAUGGAUCCGCGCCGCAUUAGCUAGUUGGUAAGGUAACGGCUUACCAAGGCGACGAUGCGUAGCCGACCUGAGAGGGUGAUCGGCCACACUGGAACUGAGACACGGUCCAGACUCCUACGGGAGGCAGCAGUAGGGAAUCUUGCGCGAUGGGCGAAAGCCUGACGGAGCAACGCCGCGUGAGUGAUGAAGGUCUUCGGAUCGUAAAACUCUGUUAUUAGGGAAGAACAAAUGUGUAAGUAACUAUGCACGUCUUGACGGUACCUAAUCAGAAAGCCACGGCUAACUACGUG